rnacentral:rRNA from 1 species
UACGUAGGGGGCAAGCGUUAUCCGGAUUUACUGGGCGUAAAGCGCGUGUAGGCGGUUGCGCAAGUUAGUUGUGAAAUCUCCCGGCUCAACCGGGAAACUGCAGCUAAUACUGCGUGGCUAGAGUGGCAGAGAGGAAAGUGGAAUUCCCGGUGUAGUAGUGAAAUGCGUAGAUAUCGGGAGGAACAUCAGUGGCGAAAGCGACUUCCUGGACCAAUACUGACGCUCAUGUGCGAAAGCGUGGGGAGCAAACAGG